AAAGAGGCUUGGUAAAUAACCUUAUUUUUGUCCACACUGGUAGUUACACGGGUGUGUGUCUAGGUCAUGUGUGACACACAACUAGCCCCGUGGGCAUGUUCUCUGGCCGUGUGUCCUCUUCACGUAAAAGAAUUUCAAGUCAGUGUGCAUGGUAAUAACACAGGGAUAGAGACACGGCCGUGUGUCUCAGUCGUGUGGAGGACACGGCCUCUAGCCACGGGCAUGUUCCUCGGCUGUGUGCCC
rnacentral:lncRNA from 1 species